CUAACUAAUUACUGGUAUGGAUGUAAAAAUUGUUAAAGGCCAAAUGCUACUAUGAAUGAUUUCCUAAAAGAUAUUUACGUAAUUUAUGUUUAAAAAUGUUAACUGAUGAACUACAUUUAAUGUUCUCUGGAAGUUCGUUCCAUAAGGAGACAGCACGGUAAUAGAAUGUCCGUUGGCCAGUUGCACUCCUGAAAAAGGGGAUGUUUAAAGAACUUGAGUUCCUCGUGCAACGUCCACUGUGUCGACUCUCCUCACAAUUUGUUGAGACAAAGAUUCCGGUGUUAUUCCGUUUAGACAUUUGAAUGUCAAAACGUCACGGUAGAGUAAGUACAGUUUAACGGGAAUCCAGUGCAGUUCAGUCAACAAGGGUUUUAUGUGGUCAAAUUUUCUUGAUUUAG